rnacentral:rRNA from 1 species
CAGCCGCCACGGUAAGACAGAGGAUGCAAGCGUUAUCCGGAAUGAUUGGGCGUAAAGCGCGCGCAGGUGGUUUAAUAAGUCUGAUGUGAAAGCCCACGGCUCAACCGUGGAGGGUCAUUGGAAACUGUUAAACUUGAGUGCAGGAGAGAAAAGUGGAAUUCCUAGUGUAGCGGUGGAAUGCGUAGAGAUUAGGAGGAACACCAGUGGCGAAGGCGGCUUUUUGGCCUGUAACUGACACUGAGGCGCGAAAGCGUGGGGAGCAAACAGGAUUAGAUACCCCGGUAGUCCCUGUCUCUUAUAA